GGCCGCCUGGCGAAAUGGCAUCGCGUCUGACUACGAUUAAUACUUCCAACAGUGUUUACAUGUUAUCAGGAGAUUGCAGGUUCGACCCCUGCGGUGGUCA